rnacentral:rRNA from 1 species
UACGUAGGUGGCGAGCGUUGUCCGGAAUUACUGGGCGUAAAGGGCUCGUAGGCGGCCAACUAAGUCGGAUGCGAAAUCCCCAGGCUCAACCUGGGAACUGCAUCCGAUACUGGAUGGCUUGAAUUCGGGAGAGGGAUGCAGAAUUCCAGGUGUAGCGGUGAAAUGCGUAGAUAUCUGGAGGAAUACCGGUGGCGAAGGCGGCAUCCUGGACCGACAUUGACGCUGAGGAGCGAAAGCCAGGGGAGCAAACGGG